GUGCUCACUUCAGUAGCACAUACACUAAAAUUGGAACCAGACAGAGAAGAUUAACAUAGUUCCUGUUCAAGGAAGACACACAUUCAUGAAGCAUUUAUAUUUUUG
ensembl:snRNA U6 U6 spliceosomal RNA